ensembl:lncRNA
CUGCCAUUCAUGACGUGUGAUCCUCUCCCUGGGUGGGUGCUCAGGGUCAAAUGCUGCAUUUCAUCCUCUGACUCAGGUUCUUGCCAAGCCCAAGGUCAACAGCAGUAAGCCCCAACUUGUGGGCGCACCCUGACACACAUAAAACAAGGACUUGGUGAGGAAAGUGCAGUACCCUCCCAUUUAUAGGUAUGAAACUUCUUUCAUAUGUAAAGCAGAGAGCUGCACAAUCGGGGCUAUUGAUAUUCCAGGGGGAAGAAAGAAGACGAAGAAAUGUUUUUCCCCAAGGAAAGGGAAAGGUAGAAGUUGAAAAUGAAUCAGAUUUAAUCACAUUCCAGACAGUAAGAUGCUUGGCCAGAAGACUGCAUUUCUCAGCCUCCCUGAAAGGGACCAAGGGUUAGUGAGGUGGAGACAGAAGUUUUCGGGUGAAGCUUACCAGAAAUGACUUUAAGAAUGAAAGAAACAGCUGGCAUGUGCCCUUCUUUUUGCUUGCUGAUUGGUAUGAAGAUAUCAUCAUUGGUGUUACAGCAGCCAUUUUAUGAAUAUGAGGCAGCCUCGAGCCUGGAAAAUAUGUGCUAGAAAUGAAAGAGAAAACUGGUUGGAGCCUGACUCCCUGAUGAAAUCACCGAGCUUCCCAUAAUUUCUUUGGACUGGCUAACAUGAAACUUUUAC